rnacentral:misc_RNA from 1 species
UUGAAUGGGGCCUUUUGGCCACCUUCUUCCAAACCUGUGGAAACGAGAAGUGCUUUGGUGCCCCUGGCGCCAAGUCCAUGCAAUUAGCCUUGUUGUCUGAUUGGAGACAAAUUUUA